rnacentral:rRNA from 1 species
UACGUAGGGCGCAAGCGUUGUCCGGAAUCAUUGGGCGUAAGAGCUCGUAGGCGGCCUGUUGCGUCCGCUGUGAAAUCCCGGGGCUUAACCCCGGGCGUGCAGUGGAUACGGGCUGGCUGGAGGCAGGCAGGGGAGAACGGAAUUCCCGGUGUAGCGGUGAAAUGCGCAGAUAUCGGGAGGAACACCGGUGGCGAAGGCGGUUCUCUGGGCCUGUACUGACGCUGAGGAGCGAAGCGUGGGGAG